AGGAGAGGCACAUCGCAGAUGGCCUGCUGGUGAAAGCCGUCACACUUCAAGUGGGCGAACACCUUCGAUAUUACAGAGGUCGGUUUACUUCAGCAACAAGCUUAACGGAAGACGAUUGGUAUCUGCUUCGCCAGAGCUAACACACUGACUGCCAUGUUGUCACCUCUAAACACGUGAUGGGGAAAGUAUUAAGCAACUACCUGCACACAGAGUGACAGUACGCUACACAAACUCACUGUUGUACAAGGACAAAGCCCAUACUGUGAAUUCAAUCAAGGUGGAAGAGGAAGAUUUUCCUGGAUUUCAGUGGAAAUGCAGUAUUGAAGUGGCGG